CUGAGAGUAAGAGUAAGCCCAUGGAAAAAUAUGACGCAUAUUUCUGAGCGGGAUUGCUCUGUGACUGGAUUGCUCCCCCCUCCCCAUUUAAUCCACACGACAACCCUGUGAGGUAGGUUAGUGACUGGCUCAAGGUCACCCAGUGAGCUUCAUGCCCAAGUGGGGAUUUCAACACUGGUUUUUCCCAGGUCCGCAUUGGCUCUCAAAUAUAACAUUCGGUAUAAACUUCAUUUUGCAGUUAGGAUAGCUCGCCAAGUGCACAGGUGGCGGAGGCUCCUUCUACCUUUUUGCAUAUCAGGUGCUCGGAAGUCAGCCUCAUGUUGCUGAAUGGGACUCCUUCGAGGAAGAAGGCAUAAAUUAAGGUUACAGCCUUGGGAAUUGUGUGGAUUUACAAAGUGGAGCUGGUCACAUCUAAAACCAGCAGCUCCACCUGCCAAAAUCCACUCUUCUCCAUAUAAAAUUACGGAAGCCCAAGCCUGCUUUAAUAAUACUGUAUAAAAAGAGGUCUGCUGGAUCUUCUUAUGGGUUGAAAACCCUGUCAUUGUCCAGCAUCCUGUUCUCAUAGUGGCCAACAAUAUCUCUGUGAGAAGGUCACAAAGUAAGACAUGAACGCAACAACACAUUCCACACUUGUGAUUCCCAGCAACUAUUAUUUGAAGGCAUACUGUGUUUAAUCAGCCUGUCUGGAAAGUUCUGAAUUUGGAAGAGCUUCAUUCUGCCAGUAAUAUUGGGAGCUUAAUUGAUGUGGAUGUUUCAAAUCAUGCCAUUGAACUCUAAAAUAUUAUAGUAUUAUCUUUAUAAAGUAUAAUAAUAUGCAUCAUCUGCUUUCUUGCUGAUUCCUGCCUUCUCUCUGUAAUUUUGGGUUUUUAAAUAUUCAGAAACGACUUCUUAUUGAAGACAGAAAUAACUUUAAUAGACCAAGUUCAUAAAUAAGAUCAGGUGGGAAAGGAUUAGGUGUUUGAAAAUAUCUCCAGAUGGAAUGUCCCAAGCAUCCCUGUGAGCAGUCAUAAAUCAGAAAUAAAUAUCUGAGUCACAGCAUCCUACUACAAUUGCCAUUUUCCAUCAGGGCUUUGCAUACCCAUGAAGUCUGAAACUAGUUUCCAACCUCAUGUCAGAUAUUUCUUCAUGCACCUGGAUUCCUGAGUUUAGUUGGCCCGAUCUGCAAUGACAGAUUUUUAAAAUGUGGAAAUCUGCCCUAUAGAAACCCAAAGCAUAUUUCUCUUGCCUAUAUGAAUUUGUGUGGAACAAAGUCACUGGACAGCAUAUCCAUUUUGUCACUCCACUUUUUCCAGCACAUUGCUUCUGUGCUUCAAAGAUGCUCUAGUUAGACACACAAACACAAUGACUGAGGCACCCUGAUACUAAACAGGCGCACACAGAACCUGCAUGAACUUUUUCACUAUUUUUGAAUUGUCAUACAUUAUUUAUUGGAUGUAUAAUCCCACUUUACACUUUCAAAACUAAAAACACACAGUAUAAUGUAAAUUGUUAGAUGGUUGGGCUUUUAAUGUGUAACACCGAUCUUUAUUGUCGCUAGUUUUAAUGUAUAGCUUUUUAUGCUUUUCGCCAGGCUUAUUUUGCUUUAAGCAUUGGUUGCAAAAGAAUUUUAGAAUUGUACUUUGUGUUUUCAUGGAUUAUAUAGUGUUAUGAUUAUGUUGUAUGCCAUGCAAUAUACAAUAUAUGAUAAAUUAUUAUCUAUAUUCUAUAUUGAGUCUUCCUGUGCUCAUGCUUAUGCAGCCAAAACCACACCCAACACACGGAAUACUGAGAAAUACAGCAGGUACAGACUAACCCCAAGGUAUAAAUACCGGUAAGUACAAAAAAAAUUGGCAGAAAAAACCUGUGUGGAUUCCUUACCUCCACCCCACCAGGAACAAACCAACUCAUCCCAUUACUUCAGUGGCAUAGAAUGUUGAGAGACUCUUGAUGGGAACAGAGAAAUACUGUAUAUAAAAACUGCAGAAAGAAGCAUCUCAUUUCCUGCAUGUCACUUCUUGGUUCACACAAGAUGGUUUUCAUUGCCUCCAGGCCCAGAAGAGACCUGUCUGUGGACAUCAAUGGAGCAACUAAAGAAUUCAGUGCAGCUGCUGUGUCUUCCACCCCUACAGAAAAAGGAGUGAGGAGACCAAAAUGGAGCAAAAAGAACCCCAACACUGCCUAUGGGUAUGCUCCAUGGGCAGAUUGCUGACCAAUGGAGGGAGGGCAGAGAUGGAAUGGAGCUGCGAGAACCAUGUUGCUAGGGCCCAAUUAUGAAAUGGUUGCCUUUGAGAAAAGUCCUAAAAGUCUCAGCCUGUGUAUCUCACAAAAAAAAUCCUAUUAUUCAUGUUAAUGGUUAAAUAUUAGAGAUAUUCCACUCCAAGGAACCUAUGACUCAGCACACGGAAGGGGGAUUUAAGAGCAGCUCAGCCUAGGGAGUACCCAGAAUGAUGCUACUUCAAGUGUUUCUUACAAACCACGUCACACAAUCCAUAAAAUAAAAAAGGUUCUGAAAGCUCAUGGUAUUUGUAGCAUUAGGAGUGUGUGGGUACCAAAUUCCCCCAAAUUCCUGGGUCCAGUAUGUUAAAAUAUAAGCCAGAACAAAAGGAAGCUGAUGAGCCAUUAGGAAUGCCAAAGAGAGCAUGCUCUGUGCCAAAUGGCAAAUGGGAGUUAGUUAGAAGACAAAGCCAGAGUCUGAAGUAGAGUCUUUAGAGUUGGCUUGGACGUGAGCUGGAGGGAAAAGGUUGCAGUCUGGUAAAGGUAGCAAGCUGGAGAGAGGAUAAGUGCAGGAUGUUUGAUGUCUGUUUGAAUCCAAAUCUGCACCUAUGGGAGAAGCAAGACCCUCUUCGAGUGCUGUGAACCCCUCCAUCAUAGGCUCAGGUUGUUUUUGUGUAAAUAAACCAUAUGUAUUAAAGAGACCACAGUCUCUGCUGGGCCUCAUUUCCAAAAGGAUGAGCAUCUGGAACCCCACAGCUUGGAGACUGAAAGUGUCAUGCAACAGUACAUUCAAGGUCUUGCAAGUUAUUAAUUAUUAUAGCCUGAAUGCAAGGGUUUUAAAUCACCUACACUUUGCUUUCACAAUCUGCAGGAAGCUGACUUUACUUCAGUCUGUCAAAACUCAUUAAUUACAGUGAAUCCAGUACUUUAGUUAACUAUUUUAGCAUUUUUAAGGGAAGCUAGUGGGGUUCACAAAAAGCACCCUGGGGGAGUUGAAAACUCUUCCAUCGUCUACUUUCCUUAUGUCUGAGGUUCUGCUAUCCAGCGGACUAAUUCUUAAAAUCCAUGAGCACCCAGAGAGGAGACCAUGGCAACUUUGCUCUUCCCCAGGGAGAAUAUGAGCCCAGGUUUGGACAUGCUAAGCCAAACCAUGACUUAGCCCAGCAUGGCACUGCAGCAAAACCAGGCCAGUGAAACCAGCCAACAUACCCCAAAAUGUAGCAUCAAAAUAUUGGUUCAUAAGAGCAAAUGGAAUGUGCAAUGCUGA
rnacentral:lncRNA from 1 species